GAAUCCGAAGCGAAAGCGAGUCUGAAUAGGGCGCUAUAGUCAGUGGGGGUAGACGCGAAACCUUGUGAUCUACCCAUGGCCAGGUUGAAGUUUUGGUAACACAAAAUGGAGGACCGAACCAGUACACGUUGAAAAGUGUUUGGAUGAGCUGUGGGUAGGGGUGAAAGGCCAAUCAAACUGGGAAAUAGCUCGUACUCCCCGAAAUGCUUUUAGGAGCAGCGUGGAGGUUUAUACUUACGGAGGUAGAGCUACCAAUAGGACUAGGGGGAGUCACAUCCUACCAAAUCCAGACGAACUC
rnacentral:rRNA from 1 species